GGGCGGGUAGCUCAGCUGGUUAGAGCAUCGCGUUGACAUCGCGAAGGUCGCAGGUUCGAGUCCUGUCUCGCCCACAA
rnacentral:tRNA from 2 species